rnacentral:sRNA from 1 species
AUGUGCCACGCGUACACGGUGGUUCCUGGGCGCCGUCCGCAUCCGCCCGACGACUGCUCGCUACGUCUUGUAAGCC